rnacentral:rRNA from 1 species
UACGUAGGUGGCAAGCGUUGUUCGGAAUUACUGGGCGUAAAGGGCUCGUAGGCGGCCAACUAAGUCAGACGUGAAAUCCCUCGGCUUAACCGGGGAACUGCGUCUGAUACUGGAUGGCUUGAGAUUGGGAGAGGGAUGCGGAAUUCCAGGUGUAGCGGUGAAAUGCGUAGAUAUCUGGAGGAACACCGGUGGCGAAGGCGGCGUCCUGGACCAGUACUGACGCUGAGGCGCGAAAGCUAGGGUAGCAAACAGG